rnacentral:rRNA from 1 species
CCUACGGGCGGCUGCAGUGGGGAAUAUUGGGCAAUGGGCGCAAGCCUGACCCAGCAACGCCGCGUGAAGGAAGAAGGCCCUCGGGUUGUAAACUUCUUUUAUCAGGGACGAAAAAAAUGACGGUACCUGAUGAAUAAGCCACGGCUAACUACGUGCCAGCAGCCGCGGUAAUACGUAGGUGGCAAGCGUUAUCCGGAUUUACUGGGUGUAAAGGGCGUGUAGGCGGGACUGCAAGUCAGAUGUGAAAACUAUGGGCUCAACCCAUAGCCUGCAUUUGAAACUGUGGUUCUUGAGUGAUGGAGAGGCAGGCGGAAUUCCGUGUGUAGCGGUGAAAUGCGUAGAUAUACGGAGGAACACCAGUGGCGAAGGCGGCCUGCUGGACAUUAACUGACGCUGAGGCGCGAAAGCGUGGGGAGCAAACAGGCUUAGAUACCCCAGUAGUC